rnacentral:tRNA from 1 species
UUUUCUUGGGUCGGCUUGAGCCAAACGUCCUCCCCAGGCGUUGGAGUAAAAUUCAAUUCGUCCGGUUGGGUGCAAGCCCAAGGUACAU